GAUGAACGCUGACAGAAUGCUUAACACAUGCAAGUCUUUGGCAAAUCUGUGCUUGCACAGCAUAGCCAAGGCGGACGGGUGAGUAACGCGUAAAGAACUUGCCCUGCAGUCUGGGAUAACAGACGGAAACGACUGAUAAAACCUGAUAUAAUCAAGCCCACGCAUGUGGUGCUUGAUGAAAAGAAAUGCUGCAGGAGAGCUUUGCGUCCUAUUAGCUUGUUGGUGGGGUAAUGGCCCACCAAGGCAAUGAUAGGUAGCCGGCCUGAGAGGGUGACCGGCCACAAGGGGACUGAGAUACGGCCCUUACUCCUACGGGAGGCAGCAGUGGGGAAUAUUGGACAAUGGGGGCAACCCUGAUCCAGCAAUUCUGUGUGCACGAAGAAGGUUUUCGGAUUGUAAAGUGCUUUCAGCAGGGAAGAAGAAAAUG
rnacentral:rRNA from 1 species